GAUGAACGCUAGCGGCAGGCUUAAUACAUGCAAGUCGUACGGGAUCCGAGGUAGCAAUACUUUGGUGAGAGUGGCGCACGGGUGCGUAACACGUAUGCAACCUACCUAUAACCGGGACACAACCCCGCGAAAGCGGGGCUAAUAUCCCAUAACACUGCGAGAUGGCAUCAUUUUGCAGUUAAAACUCAGGUGGUUAUAGAUGGGCAUGCGCGACAUUAGCUAGUUGGUGAGGUAACGGCCCACCAAGGCUACGAUGUCUAGGGGUUCUGAGAGGAUUAUCCCCCACGCUGGUACUGAGACACGGACCAGACUCCUACGGGAGGCAGAAGUAAGGAAUAUUGGUCAAUGGGCGCAAGCCUGGACCAGCCAUGCCGCGUGAAGGAAGAAGGCCCUAUGGGUUGUAAACUUCUUUUGUACGGGAAAAAACCACCGGUCGAGCAUCGGUGCUGAUGGUACCGUAAGAAUAAGCAUCGGCUAACUCCGUGCCAGCCGCCGCUGUAAAAC
rnacentral:rRNA from 1 species